UCGCGUUAAGGAUAGUAGUGGAAAUCCUUUUUAUGUCAGUUCGAGUGAAUUUGCUUUGCAAAUUUGUAUCGAGAACACAUAAAAAGAUUGAAACGGAUAGCCUGUUUAAAC
rnacentral:sRNA from 12 species